GAGUUUGAUCAUGGCUCAGAACGAACGCUGGCGGCGUGGAUAAGACAUGCAAGUCGAACGGGAGAAUUGCUAGCUUGCUAAUAAUUCUCUAGUGGCGCACGGGUGAGUAACACGUGAGUAACCUGCCCCGAGAGCGGGAUAGCCCUGGGAAACUGGGAUUAAUACCGCAUAGUAUCGAAAGAUUAAAGCAGCAAUGCGCUUGGGGAUGGGCUCGCGGCCUAUUAGUUAGUUGGUGAGGUAACGGCUCACCAAGGCGAUGACGGGUAGCCGGUCUGAGAGGAUGUCCGGCCACACUGGAACUGAGACACGGUCCAGACACCUACGGGUGGCAGCAGUCGAGAAUCAUUCACAAUGGGGGAAACCCUGAUGGUGCGACGCCGCGUGGGGGAAUGAAGGUCUUCGGAUUGUAAACCCCUGUCAUGUGGGAGCAAAUUAAAAAGAUAGUACCACAAGAGGAAGAGACGGCUAACUCUGUGCCAGCAGCCGCGCGGUAAG
rnacentral:rRNA from 1 species